AGCGAACGCUGGCGGCAGGCCUAAUACAUGCAAGUCGAACGGGGAAAGCUUUCGGGUGAGUACUAGUGGCGCACGGGUGAGGAACGCGUGGAUAAUCUGCCUUAGAGUGGGGGAUAACUAGUCGAAAGAUUAGCUAAUACCGCAUAAGACCACAGGAGCUGCGGCUCAAGGGGUCAAAGGUUUUUCGCUCUAAGAUGAGUCCGCGUAAGAUUAGCUAGUUGGUGAGGUAACGGCUCACCAAGGCGACGAUCUUUAACUGGUCUGAGAGGAUGAUCAGUCACACUGGAACUGAGACACGGUCCAGACUCCUACGGGAGGCAGCAGUAGGGAAUAUUGCACAAUGGAGGAAACUCUGAUGCAGCGACGCCGCGUGAGUGAUGAAGGCCUUCGGGUCGUAAAGCUCUGUCGCAGGGGAAUAACACAAUGAAGAUACCCUGUAAGAAAGGAUCGGCUAACUUCGUGCCAGCAGCCGCCGUAAUAC
rnacentral:rRNA from 1 species